CUCCUACGGGACGCAGCAGUGAGGAAUAUUGGUCAAUGGACGAAAGUCUGAACCAGCCAUGCCGCGUGGGUGAAGAAGGUUUUCGGAUCGUAAAACUCUGUUGGUAGAGAAGAACGUUGGUGAGAGUGGAAAGCUCAUCAAGUGACGGUAACUACCCAGAAAGGGACGGCUAACUACGUGCCAGCAGCCGCGGUAAUACGUAGGUCCCGAGCGUUGUCCGGAUUUAUUGGGCGUAAAGCGAGCGCAGGUGGUUUAUUAAGUCUGGUGUAAAAGGCAGUGGCUCAACCAUUGUAUGCAUUGGAAAC
rnacentral:rRNA from 1 species